AGCGAAACGGGAAGAGCCCAAACCAACAAGCUUGCUUGUUGGGGUUGUAGGACACUCUAUACGGAGUUACAAAGGACGACAUUAGACGAAUCAUCUGGAAAGAUGAAUCAAAGAAGGUAAUAAUCCUGUAGUCGAAAAUGUUGUCUCUCUUGAGUGGAUCCUGAGUACGACGGAGCACGUGAAAUUCCGUCGGAAUCUGGGAGGACCAUCUCCUAAGGCUAAAUACUCUCUAGUGACCGAUAGUGAACCAGUACCGUGAGGGAAAGGUGAAAAGCACCCCGGAAGGGGAGUGAAAUAGAACCUGAAACCGUGUGCUUACAAGUAGUCAGAGCCCGUUAAUGGGUGAUGGCGUGCCUUUUGUAGAAUGAACCGGCGAGUUACGAUUUGAUGCAAGGUUAAGCAGUAAAUGUGGAGCCGUAGCGAAAGCGAGUCUGAAUAGGGCGUUUAGUAUUUGGUCGUAGACCCGAAACCAGGUGAUCUACCCUUGGUCAGGUUGAAGUUCAGGUAACACUGAAUGGAGGACCGAACCGACUUACGUUGAAAAGUGAGCGGAUGAACUGAGGGUAGCGGAGAAAUUCCAAUCGAACCUGGAGAUAGCUGGUUCUCUCCGAAAUAGCUUUAGGGCUAGCCUCAAGUGAUGAUUAUUGGAGGUAGAGCACUGUUUGGACGAGGGGCCCCUCUCGGGUUACCGAAUUCAGACAAACUCCGAAUGCCAAUUAAUUUAACUUGGGAGUCAGAACAUGGGUGAUAAGGUCCGUGUUCGAAAGGGAAACAGCCCAGACCACCAGCUAAGGUCCCAAAAUAUAUGUUAAGUGGAAAAGGAUGUGGCGUUGCCCAGACAACUAGGAUGUUGGCUUAGAAGCAGCCAUCAUUUAAAGAGUGCGUAAUAGCUCACUAGUCGAGUGACACUGCGCCGAAAAUGUACCGGGGCUAAACAUAUUACCGAAGCUGUGGAUUGUCCUUUGGACAAUGGUAGGAGAGCGUUCUAAGGGCGUUGAAGCAUGAUCGUAAGGACAUGUGGAGCGCUUAGAAGUGAGAAUGCCGGUGUGAGUAGCGAAAGACGGGUGAGAAUCCCGUCCACCGAUUGACUAAGGUUUCCAGAGGAAGGCUCGUCCGCUCUGGGUUAGUCGGGUCCUAAGCUGAGGCCGACAGGCGUAGGCGAUGGAUAACAGGUUGAUAUUCCUGUACCACCUAUAAUCGUUUUAAUCGAUGGGGGGACGCA
rnacentral:rRNA from 1 species